GUGGGGAAUAUUGCACAAUGGGGGAAACCCUGAUGCAGCGACGCCGCGUGAGUGAAGAAGUAUUUCGGUACGUAAAGCUCUAUCAGCAAGGAAGAUAAUGACGGUAGCCAAGAAGGAAGCCCCGGCUAACUACGUGCCAGCAGCCGCGGUAAUACGUAGGGGGCAAGCGUUAUCCGGAUUUACUGGGUGUAAAGGGAGCGUAGACGGAAUGGCAAGUCUGAAGUGAAAUCCUGCGGCUUAACUGCAGAAUUGCUUUGGAAACUGUCAAUCUGGAGUGUUGGAGAGGUAAGCGGAAUUCCUGGUGUAGCGGUGAAAUGCGUAGAUAUUAGGAAGAACACCGGAGGCGAAGGCGGCUUACUGGACAAUAACUGACGUUGAGGCUCGAAAGCGUGGGAAGCAAACAGGAUUAGAUACCCCUGUAGUCC
rnacentral:rRNA from 1 species